rnacentral:rRNA from 1 species
GACGAACGCUGGCGGCGUGCCUAAUACAUGCAAGUAGAACGCUGAAGGAGGAGCUUGCUUCUCUGGAUGAGUUGCGAACGGGUGAGUAACGCGUAGGUAACCUGCCUGGUAGCGGGGGAUAACUAUUGGAAACGAUAGCUAAUACCGCAUAAUAGUAGAUGUUGCAUGACAUUUGCUUAAAAGGUGCAAUUGCAUCACUACCAGAUGGACCUGCGUUGUAUUAGCUAGUUGGUGGGGUAACGGCUCACCAAGGCGACGAUACAUAGCCGACCUGAGAGGGUGAUCGGCCACACUGGGACUGAGACACGGCCCAGACUCCUACGGGAGGCAGCAGUAGGGAAUCUUCGGCAAUGGACGGAAGUCUGACCGAGCAACGCCGCGUGAGUGAAGAAGGUUUUCGGAUCGUAAAGCUCUGUUGUAAGAGAAGAACGAGUGUGAGAGUGAAAAGUUCACACUGUGACGGUAUCUUACCAGAAAGGGACGGCUAACUACGUG